AUUGAACGCUGGCGGCAGGCCUAACACAUGCAAGUCGAGCGGAUGAAGGGAGCUUGCUCCUGGAUUCAGCGGCGGACGGGUGAGUAAUGCCUAGGAAUCUGCCUGGUAGUGGGGGAUAACGUCCGGAAACGGGCGCUAAUACCGCAUACGUCCUGAGGGAGAAAGUGGGGGAUCUUCGGACCUCACGCUAUCAGAUGAGCCUAGGUCGGAUUAGCUAGUUGGUGGGGUAAGGGCCUACCAAGGCGACGAUCCGUAACUGGUCUGAGAGGAUGAUCAGUCACACUGGAACUGAGACACGAUCCAGACUCCUACGGGAGGCAGCAGUGGGGAAUAUUGGACAAUGGGCGAAAGCCUGAUCCAGCCAUGCCGCGUGUGUGAAGAAGGUCUUCGGAUUGUAAAGCACUUUAAGUUGGGAGGAAGGGCAGUAAGUUAAUACCUUGCUGUUUUGACGUUACCAACAGAAUAAGCACCGGCUAACUUCGUG
rnacentral:rRNA from 1 species